rnacentral:misc_RNA from 1 species
UACGGAGGGUGCAAGCGUUACUCGGAAUUACUGGGCGUAAAGCGCACGCAGGCGGUCUGUCAAGUCUGUUGUGAAAUCCCCGGGCUCAACCUGGGAACUGCAUCCGAAACUGGCGGGCUAGAGUCUGGUAGAGGGGGGUAGAAUUCCAGGUGUAGCGGUGAAAUGCGUAGAGAUCUGGAGGAAUACCGGUGGCGAAGGCGGCCCCCUGGACAAGGACUGACGCUGAAGUGCGAAAGCGUGGGGAGCAAACAGG